AAGGAGGCGAACCGGGGGAACUGAAACAUCUAAGUACCCCGAGGAAAAGAAAUCAACCGAGAUUCCGAAAGUAGCGGCGAGCGAAAUUGGACUAGCCCUUAAGCUUUACACGCGUUAGACGAACGGUCUGGAAAGUCCGACGAUACAGGGUGAUAGUCCCGUAGUUGACGACGUGUGUUCAGUGAAAUCGAGUAGGGCGGGACACGUGAUAUCCUGUCUGAAUAUGGGGGGACCAUCCUCCAAGGCUAAAUACUACUGACUGACCGAUAGUGAACCAGUACCGUGAGGGAAAGGCGAAAAGAACCCCUGUGAGGGGAG
rnacentral:rRNA from 1 species